UCGAACCCUGCAUAGCAUAACACCCGUGAACAAGUAAAAAUAGCCGGCCUUUUGUGGCUUGAAGCAUCUGUUUCGAGCCUCAUGAGGCCUUGUUGACGUGUGUUCAUGUUUGCCCCAUGGGGUAUCAUGGAUGUCAAGUUGACAAACUAACAACCCCCGGCACGGCAUGUGCCAAGGAUAACAAAACUUGAAGGGCCCGUGCUUUACGCCCCGUUUGCGGUGUGCGCAUUGNNUGUGGCUUCUUAAACUU
rnacentral:misc_RNA from 1 species